rnacentral:rRNA from 1 species
UACGUAGGGUGCAAGCGUUAAUCGGAAUUACUGGGCGUAAAGGGCGCGUAGGCGGCCUUCUAAGUCAGACGUGAAAUCCCCCGGCUUAACCUGGGAACUGCGUCUGAUACUGGGAGGCUCGAGUAUGGGAGAGGGAUGUAGAAUUCCAGGUGUAGCGGUGAAAUGCGUAGAUAUCUGGAGGAAUACCGGUGGCGAAGGCGGCAUCCUGGACCAUAACUGACGCUGAGGCGCGAAAGCUAGGGGAGCAAACGGG